GAGAUGAAACCCUGAAGGCAGUGAGUUUUGUGUAACCCUUUAGAUGAUGUGAGAUCAUGACCCAGGUGUGUGGAGAGCGAGAGGAACCGACAUCACCAACAUCAGGGAGAUAAAUCCACAGCUCGUCCAUGGCAUUCCUCCUCAGGUCCCGUAAAACACGCCUCAGGAUCCACGUCAUUGUCUCGUAGACAUCGUGACCUUCACCAGCGUUCUCCAUCUGGAAAGAAGAUCGAGUAUACGUACAGCUAAAACUCAUCACAGGAAGUGGAGUCCUGGAGAGAGUGUAAAACACCGUACAGGAGAAAGGUUCCGUUAGCUCUGGAACCUCAGACGUUCUGCUAACAUUCUACACACACAAUAACACACACCUGUGUGAAGGCCUUGAUUAUUCUCUCCACAAACGCUUCCUCCACCUCCUCAGGCAUCACCAGGAGACGAGCGAAACACUCCAACACACACAGCAGCGUCUCCUUCGAGGCCUACAAGAGAACAACCAAACAUCUGGAGAUAAGACAUUUGGAUUCUCUCACACCUGCACAUGAGCCUCAUCAAGUUAACUACAGGUCGAGCGCGAGUGACUGAGCAACCAGCAGACGCCGAGCCUCUAGAGUCAGCUCCGACUGGAUGGUACCAGGAGGAGUAGAGGCCUCUGAUGGCCUGUUGGUCUUCACUCCAGCGUGACGGGUCUUCGUAUUUGCAGGCUCGGCCUCCACACCCGAUGGAGCACUGCAUGUGGGUGGGGAUCACAUAGCGUAGCGUCUC